UACGUAGGUGGCAAGCGUUGUCCGGAAUUACUGGGCGUAAAGCGUGCGCAGGCGGCUUCUCAAGUCAGGGGUGAAAGCCCAGAGCUCAACUCUGGAAUUGCCUUUGAGACUGAGUGGCUUGAGUACGAGAGAGGUGAGUGGAAUUCCCAGUGUAGAGGUGAAAUUCGUAGAUAUUGGGAAGAAACACCGGUGGCGAAGGCGGCUCACUGGCUCGUAACUGACGCUCAUGCACGACAGCCGUGGGGAUCAAACAGG
rnacentral:rRNA from 1 species